GGGGAUUUAGCUCAGUGGUAGAGCACUUGCCUAGCAAGCACAAGGCCCUGGGUUCGGUCCCAGCUCCG
rfam:Rattus norvegicus chromosome 17, whole genome shotgun sequence.